UUGCUUCAUAGUUGUUGUUACAUAAUGAUUUGUUUGUUAAAGUUGAUAAUAAUUAACAAAUCAAUGAUCACACGUUACUAAAAAUAAAUAAAGCAAAUGACCCGAUGGCUCCUUUUUUUAUACAAAAAAAAAAAAAAGAAACCGAAUCAAUUUUAAGUGGUUUUCUCGUUGACAAUGACUAAUAAUAAUUAGGAAUAAUAAUUCUUUCUUCAAAAAUAGUGAACCAAAUGCCGCCAUAGAAACAAAAAUAUUAAAUAGUGUAUAAACUUAAUAAUCAAGCUUUAUUAAAUUUUACUAUUUACUAUGAAGAAAAAAAAAAGACUAGUAUUUAACCCAAAAGAAAAAACAAAAUUGACACUAUUACAUCAUAUAAAUUGACCUUCCGCGAACAGUUGAGAUGUCAAAUGAAAUAUU
rnacentral:lncRNA from 1 species